rnacentral:rRNA from 1 species
CCUACGGGUGGCUGCAGUCGAGAAUCUUCCGCAAUGGGCGAAAGCCUGACGGAGCGACGCCGCGUGCGGGAUGAAGGCCUUCGGGUUGUAAACCGCUGUCAGUGGGGAGUAAAUCAUGGGGGGCAAUCCCCCUAUGUUGAGCGAUCCACAGAGGAAGCGCAGGCUAAGUUCGUGCCAGCAGCCGCGGUAACACGAACUGCGCAAACGUUAUUCGGAAUCACUGGGCUUAAAGAGUCCGUAGGCGGCUCGGAAGGUGAGGUGUGAAAUCCCACGGCUCAACCGUGGAAUUGCGCUUCAAACCACCGAGCUUGAGGGAGAUAGAGGAGAGCGGAACUGAUGGUGGAGCGGUGAAAUGCGUUGAUAUCAUCAGGAACACCGGUGGCGAAAGCGGCUCUCUGGGUCUCUUCUGACGCUGAGGGACGAAAGCUAGGGGAGCGAAC